rnacentral:rRNA from 1 species
CUACGGGUUGCACCAGUGAGGAAUAUUGGGCAAUGGACGCAAGUCUGACCCAGCCAUGCCGCGUGCAGGAUGACGGCCCUAUGGGUUGUAAACUGCUUUUAUACAGGAAGAAACCCUCUGACGUGUCAGAGGUUGACGGUACUGUAUGAAUAAGCAUCGGCUAACUCCGUGCCAGCAGCCGCGGUAAUACGGAGGAUGCAAGCGUUAUCCGGAUUUAUUGGGUUUAAAGGGUGCGUAGGCGGGGCAAUUAGUCAGUGGUGAAAUCCUGCGGCUUAACCGUAGAACUGCCAUUGAUACUGUUGUCCUUGAGUAUAGUUGAGGUGGGCGGAAUGUGUAAUGUAGCGGUGAAAUGCAUAGAUAUUACACAGAACACCAAUUGCGAAGGCAGCUCACUAAGCUAUAACUGACGCUAAGGCACGAAAGCGUGGGGAGCGAACAGGAUUAGAUACCCCGGUAGUC